GUGGGGAACCCUGGAAGAACUGGCCUGCCCGGUUUCACGGGUUUUCAAGGUGACCGAGGGCGUGAUGGACCUCCCGGAUCAACAGGUCCUCUGGGAAAGCCAGGAAUCAAUGGAGACCCAGGUUCCCC